rnacentral:rRNA from 1 species
UCUCGGGAGGCAGCAGUAGGGAAUCUUCCGCAAUGGACGAAAGUGGGGGGAAGCAACGCCGCGUGAGUGAUGAAGGCUUUCGGGUCGUAAAACUCUGUUGUUAGGGAAGAACAAGUGCUAGUUGAAUAAGCUGGCACCUUGACGGUACCUAACCAGAAAGCCACGGCUAACUACGUGCCAGCAGCCGCGGUAAUACGUAGGUGGCAAGCGUUAUCCGGAAUUAUUGGGCGUAAAGCGCGCGCAGGUGGUUUCUUAAGUCUGAUGUGAAAGCCCACGGCUCAACCGUGGAGGGUCAUUGGAAACUGGGAGACUUGAGUGCAGAAGAGGAAAGUGGAAUUCCAUGUGUAGCGGUGAAAUGCGUAGAGAUAUGGAGGAACACCAGUGGCGAAGGCGACUUUCUGGUCUGUAACUGACACUGAGGCGCGAAAGCGUGGGGAGCAAACAGGAUUAGAUACCCUGGUAGUCCACGCCGUAAACGAUGAGUGCCUAAGUGGUUUAAGGGAAG